GUGAGUCAUCGAAUCUUUGAACGCACAUUGCGCUCUCUGGUAUUCCGGGGAGCAUGCCCGUUUCAGAAUCAUAUAAUCAUCUCAAUCCUCCUGUUUGUUAACACAAGCGAGGGGGAGUGAAUGUUGGAUGUCUUUUUGAAUCCUUUUUCAAGGAUGCAAUCGUCUGAAAUAUGAUGGUACGUGGUCCUGGCUUAACAUAGCUGGCUGGUCUACCUGGUGCAACAGAUACACAUCUUUACACCUUGCAGACGAGGCAGCUAGAGCCUGUUUGAUCCUGCGUACACCACAGUAUUAUACAGA
rnacentral:misc_RNA from 1 species